CGUCUCNGUUCAGAUUGCAGGCUGCAACUCGCCUGCAUGAAGUCGGAAUUGCUAGUAAUCGCAGAUCAGCAUGCUGCGGUGAAUACGUUCCCGGGCCUUGUACACACCCGCCCGUCACACCAUGGGAGUCGGUAACACCCGAAGUCGGUAGCCUAACCGUAAGGAGGGCGCCGCCGAAGGUGGGAUUGAUGACUGGGGUGAAGUCGUAACAAGGUACC
rnacentral:rRNA from 1 species